rnacentral:rRNA from 1 species
GUGGUGGCACAGAAUCGGAGGCCCCGACUGUUUACUUAAAACACAGCUUUCUGCGACGAAUAAUAUCUUUGUAUAGAAAGCGAAUUUUGCCCAAUGCCAUUAAUAUAAGUGAAGUUCUGGUCAAUGGCGGUCUUAUCUAUGAGGAUCCUAAGGUAGCAAAAUUAAUUGUCCAUUAAAUGUGGUCCUGACUGAAUAAAGUAACGAUGGUCUCGCUGUCUCUACAAGUAUCUCAGUGAAAUUGAAUUAGCCGUGCAGAUGC